ACGCUCGACACCUACGGGAUGCAGCAGUGGGGAAUAUUGCACAAUGGGGGAAACCCUGAUGCAGCAACGCCGCGUGAAGGAAGACGGUUUUCGGAUUGUAAACUUCUGUUCUUAGUGAAGAUAGUGACGGUAGCUAAGGAGCAAGCCACGGCUAACUACGUGCCUGCAGCCGCGGUAAUCUGAGCGGGCUGGCAAGGC
rnacentral:rRNA from 1 species